rnacentral:rRNA from 1 species
UACGGGGGGGUGCGAGCGUUGUCCGGAAUCACUGGGCGUAAAGAGCGUGUAGGCGGCCUGAAAGGUCAGCUGUGAAAACUCGAGGCUCAACCUCGAGACGUCGGCUGAAACCAUCUGGCUAGAGUCCGGAAGAGGAGUGUGGAAUUCCCGGUGUAGCGGUGAAAUGCGCAGAUAUCGGGAAGAACACCCGUGGCGAAGGCGGCACUCUGGGACGGUACUGACGCUGAGACGCGAAAGCGUGGGGAGCGAACAGG